rnacentral:rRNA from 1 species
AGUGAACGCUGGCGGUAGGCCUAACACAUGCAAGUCGAACGGCAGCACAGUAAGAGCUUGCUCUUACGGGUGGCGAGUGGCGGACGGGUGAGGAAUACAUCGGAAUCUACUUUUUCGUGGGGGAUAACGUAGGGAAACUUACGCUAAUACCGCAUACGACCUACGGGUGAAAGCAGGGGAUCUUCGGACCUUGCGCGAUUGAAUGAGCCGAUGUCGGAUUAGCUAGUUGGCGGGGUAAAGGCCCACCAAGGCGACGAUCCGUAGCUGGUCUGAGAGGAUGAUCAGCGACACUGGAACUGGAACACGGUCCAGACUCCUACGGGAGGCAGCAGUGGGGAAUAUUGGACAAUGGGCGCAAGCCUGAUCCAGCCAUACCGCGUGGGUGAAGAAGGCCUUCGGGUUGUAAAGCCCUUUUGUUGGGAAAGAAAAGCAGCAGGUUAAUACCCCGCUGUUCUGACGGUACCCAAAGAAUAAGCACCGGCUAACUUCGUG